CUCUCUCUGGAACAUUACUGGAUAGAUGGUGUGUGUCUGAAGAAGACUACAGAAACACGUACUUAAAGUGCUCCAGGCAUUCAAAAAAAUGGGAUCCUCUCCAUCUCUCGCCAGGAAUCAUUGGGAAGUGUCUCCAGAAAAUCAACGUGGAGGACAAGAAGGAGAACCAUUGCUGUGUCAGUAACCACCUCCUUCCCUCUGACACGUCAGUCUCCAACUGCGUGGGUCGGGGCAUCUUCUGACGUGAACAAAGGCACAGCUUGUCGCAAUGGAACAGAUGGAGAGACCACGACACAAGGUGAAAAUGGAUUAUAUUUACAUUCUAAUUGAAAACAUGCAAGCGCAAGCCUUCUUUAUCGAGAAAUCUUUACAAUUCUCUGCACAUUUUAGCAACAUAAUGCAGAAUGAGCACAACCACCACAGCAUACAAACAUCCUGUGGCUUAUUGUUCUACAGGUCUCAAUAGGCUCUCGAAGCACUGUACCCAGUAUAAGAGGUAUGGUUGGGAUUUGCCAAGUGGAGGCGUGUUAUCAGGAUCUCAGACGGUUAUUAAUUUUGAAUUGAUUUUAAUGUUCUCCUCCAGAAUGGCCUGGUACCUACUGUGGAGCCAGAGAUCCCGCCUGACACAGACCAUGACCUGCUAGGCUGCCAGUACAUCACACAAAAUGUUGGUUGGUGGGAUUUGUCUUAGUCGUCUUAGUCUGCCAAAUUACCAGCAGUGAAACAUUUUCCCCCCAGAUAUUUCAAAGCAUGUAUAGUAAUAUAUUGCUUUUAACAAAGCAGUUUAAGAAAAACACAGAGGACUAAGUUUCCCGGCGGCAUGCUGCUUUCUGUGUCUUUCCAGCAACCUGGUCUGUCUGGAGGCCAGAUUGAGAAUUACAUUAGCCAGGGUGCCCAUCCAUUGUCUUUGGAAGCUGACCUUCUCUUACAGCUAUGAACUCCAGGCCUUUUCUCUUGCAGCCUGGCAGGAGGAAAGCUGCUAACAAGGCAGUUGCACAGGUAGCUUUCUGCAGCAGGGCCAAGAUAAGUAUCACAGAGCAUGAACAACAACGUCAUUAAUAUUUAGUAAGCACCGCAAGAUGUUUUCUUGAACAUACCCAUCUGCUUUAAGACUUGUAACAUCCACUCUCAGGAUCUGAACACAUGAGGUCCUUUAACCCAUGCUAUCUGUCUUCAUUGAUUUGAAAUAAUUAUGUUUUUUUUAAUAAUUAGAAAGAACUGUAACAGUUUCAAAAAUCCUAUAUUGAACCACAGUGCACAAUAGAUUUAAUUUACAACCAAAUUCAGCAAUUAAUUUACCCUUACACUACUACAUUUAUAGAAAAACAAACACAUAGUUAUUUAAUAGAUUUCAUACUUCAGUAGAUCAAAACAGUAGAUCUUCAUUCAUUAGUUUGCAGUGGUGGAAAUUAAUUAAAUACAUUUACUUUAAAACUGUACUCAGGUACAGUUUUGGGGGUACCUGUACUUAAAUCCAGUUUCUCCGCAGCAUGUUUCCUAAGACUUGUACUCAACCACAUUUCAAAGGCAAAUAUUGUACUUUUUACUCUUAAAUUUUAACAGCUGUAGUUAUAAAUAAUGUUGACAUUUU